UGAGCAAUCUGCCCUUCUCAUCGGAAUAAGCGUUGGAAACGACGUCUAAUGCCGAAUACGACCUCCUUUCGCAUGAUCGGAGGUGGAAAGCUCCGGCGGAGGAGGAUGAGCUCGCGGCCUAUCAGCUAGUUGGUGUGGGUAAUGGCCCACCAAGGCGACGACGGGUAGCCGGCCUGAGAGGGUGACCGGCCACACUGGGACUGAGACACGGCCCAGACUCCUACGGGAGCAG
rnacentral:rRNA from 1 species